rnacentral:rRNA from 1 species
UACGUAGGGUGCAAGCGUUAUCCGGAUUCACUGGGUUUAAAGGGUGCGUAGGUGGGCAGGUAAGUCAGUGGUGAAAUCUCUGGGCCUAACUCAGAAACUGCCAUUGAUACUAUCUUUCUUGAAUACCGUGGAGGUCAGCGGAAUAUGUCAUGUAGCGGUGAAAUGCUUAGAUAUGACAUAGAACACCAAUUGCGAAGGCAGCUGGCUACACGAAUAUUGACACUGAUGCACGAAAGCGUGGGGAUCAAACAGG